GGGCUGAUAAGCUAAUGGUAAACUUCGAGGCUGGCAGUCUCGGUUUCCGGGUUCGAUCCCCGGUCAGUCCA
rnacentral:tRNA from 1 species